rnacentral:rRNA from 1 species
CUACGGGAUGCACCAGUGAGGAAUAUUGCACAAUGGGGGGAACCCUGAUGCAGCAACGCCGCGUGGAGGAUGACGUAUUUCGGUGUGUAAACUCCUUUUAUAUGUCAAGAAAAUGACGGUAGCAUAUGAAUAAGCGCCGGCUAACUCCGUGCCAGCAGCCGCGGUAAUACGGAGGGCGCAAGCGUUACUCGGAAUCACUGGGCGUAAAGGACGCGUAGGCGGGUUGAAAAGUCAGGUGUGAAAGCCUACAGCUUAACUGUAGAACUGCACUUGAAACUCUCAAUCUAGAGUAUGGGAGGGGCAGAUGGAAUUAGUGGUGUAGGGGUAAAAUCCGUAGAUAUCACUAGGAAUACCUAAAGCGAAGGCGAUCUGCUGGAACAUUACUGACGCUAAGGCGUGAAAGCGUGGGGAGCAAACAGGAUUAGAUACCCGCGUAGUC